rnacentral:pre_miRNA from 14 species
UUGGUCCACAUGUCCGCACUCAUUUCAAGCGGCUUUCAACGACUAUAUCAACCAAAUCAAGCUAGAUACGUUGAUAUGUUGUUUGAAUGCCCCUUGAGAUUUUGGAGUGUUCACUUUUUUUGA